UACGAAGGGGGCUAGCGUUGCUCGGAAUCACUGGGCGUAAAGGGUGCGUAGGCGGGUCUUUAAGUCAGGGGUGAAAUCCUGGAGCUCAACUCCAGAACUGCCUUUGAUACUGAGGAUCUUGAGUACGGGAGAGGUGAGUGGAACUGCGAGUGUAGAGGUGAAAUCCGUAGAUAUUCGCAAGAACACCAGUGGCGAAGGCGGCUCACUGGCCCGUAACUGACGCUGAGGCACGAAAGCGUGGGGAGCAAACAGG
rnacentral:rRNA from 1 species